AACUUCUGAAUGUUGACCUCGGAUCAGGUAGGAAUACCCGCUGAACUUAAGCAUAUCAAUAAGCGGAGGAAAAGAAACCAACAGGGAUUGCCCUAGUAACGGCGAGUGAAGCGGCAACAGCUCAAAUUUGAAAUCUGGCUCUCGGGCCCGAGUUGUAAUUUGUAGAGGAUGCUUUUGAUGCGGUGCCUUCCGAGUUCCCUGGAACGGGACGCCAUAGAGGGUGAGAGCCCCGUCUGGUUGGAUGCCAAAUCUCUGUAAAGCUCCUUCGACGAGUCGAGUAGUUUGGGAAUGCUGCUCUAAAUGGGAGGUAUAUGUCUUCUAAAGCUAAAUACCGGCCAGAGACCGAUAGCGCACAAGUAGAGUGAUCGAAAGAUGAAAAGCACUUUGAAAAGAGAGUUAAAAAGUACGUGAAAUUGUUGAAAGGGAAGCGUUUAUGACCAGACUUGGGCUUGGUUAAUCAUCUGGGGUUCUCCCCAGUGCACUUUUCCAGUCCAGGCCAGCAUCAGUUUUCGCCGGGGGAUAAAGGCUUCGGGAAUGUGGCUCUCUCCGGGGAGUGUUAUAGCCCGUUGCGUAAUACCCUGGC
rnacentral:rRNA from 1 species